AUGAAUAAAAAUCAGUAUAGAAGUGUCAUCUUGACAACAUGCUAUCCUGAUUUUCUUAUUCACUGUAUUGUCUGUCUCGCUUCCUCUAACGGAUGCCUGGGUGGCUCAGCUGUUGAGUGUCUGCCUUUGGCUCAUGGCAUGAUCCCGUCCCCUCAGAUGGAGUCCACAUUGAGCUCCCUAGAGGAGCCAGCUUCUCCCUCUGUCUAUGUCUCUGCCUCUCUCUGUGUGUCUCUCAUGAAUAAAAUCUUUUUUAAAAAUUUCCUUUAAGUGUGCAGUGAUACCUCCUUAUGGUUGUAAUUUACAUUUCUCUGGUGCUUAAAAGUGUUUAGCACUAUUUCAUAUGCUUAUUUGUUCUUGUUUUUUAAAGAUUUUACAUAAGGUGUGAAGAAUGUGUAGGUUUCUUUUAUUUUGUCUAUCUUAAGGUCCAAAUGUUCCAGUGAAAUUUCCUUGUAAAGACUAUAAUUUGUUGAAAUGCAUUUUCACCUCUGUCAAAAACUACAUCUUUUUUUUUUUUUUUUUUUGGAUGGGUCUAUUUAUGAAGCCUCUAUCUACUCUGUUCCAUUGAUCUGUGUGUCUAUCAUUUCAACAAUACCAUUUUCUCUUGGAUAUCAUAGUUUUAUUCGUAAGUUGUGAUAUAGG
rnacentral:lncRNA from 1 species